rnacentral:rRNA from 1 species
GAUGAACGCUAGCGGCAGGCCUAACACAUGCAAGUCGAGGGAGAAGCCCUUUCGGGGGCAGAAACCGGCGCACGGGUGCGUAACGCGUAUGCAACCUACCUUUCACAGGGGGAUAGCCCGAAGAAAUUUGGAUUAAUACCCCAUAAUAUUGUUGGAUGGCAUCAUUUGGCAAUUAAAACUGCGGUGGUGAAAGAUGGGCAUGCGUCCUAUUAGCUAGUUGGAGUGGUAACGGCACCCCAAGGCUACGAUAGGUAGGGGUCCUGAGAGGGAGAUCCCCCACACUGGUACUGAGACAGGGACCAGACUCCUACGGGAGGCAGCAGUGAGGAAUAUUGGUCAAUGGUCGGAAGACUGAACCAGCCAUGCCGCGUGCAGGAAGAAUGCCUUAUGGGUUGUAAACUGCUUUUAUAUGGGAAGAAUAAGGCGUACGUGUACGUUGAUGACGGUACCAUAUGAAUAAGCAGCGGCUAACUCCGU